AAUUUUUCCGAGCCCAAGCCGGCUCCCUUGAUAGCGUUUAGAGACUGGAGAAGGACACAGAAUAAGAGAGAAAAAGCGCUGGCAGUAAACAAAGGUCAGUAUAAUGACUUGAUUAAACUGUUUUGACUUAGAAUUUUAUUAUCGUUGACUUUGAAACUUUUAUCUAUUGACUGUUAAUUUUACUGACUUGGGACCAAGUCAUCUUGUUACUUGGUACCGGCUCCUAACACCAAACCGGAAAAUCCGUCCCACAUAAGUGGUCAGACGCAGGAGUAGCCAAAUGCCUCGUCAUCUAAUUAGUGACGCGCAUGAAUAGAUUAACGAGAUUUCCACUGUCCCUAUCUAC
rnacentral:ncRNA from 1 species